AGUGAACGCUGGCGGUAGGCCUAACACAUGCAAGUCGAACGGCAGCACAGGAGAGCUUGCUCUCUGGGUGGCGAGUGGCGGACGGGUGAGGAAUACAUCGGAAUCUACCUUUUCGUGGGGGAUAACGUAGGGAAACUUACGCUAAUACCGCCUACGACCUACGGGUGAAAGUGGGGGACCGCAAGGCCUCACGCGAUUAGAUGAGCCGAUGUCCGAUUAGCUAGUUGGCGGGGUAAUGGCCCACCAAGGCGACGAUCGGUAGCUGGUCUGAGAGGAGGAUCAGCCACACUGGAACUGAGACACGGUCCAGACUCCUACGGGAGGCAGCAGUGGGGAAUAUUGGACAAUGGGCGCAAGCCUGAUCCAGCCAUACCGCGUGGGUGAAGAAGGCCUUCGGGUUGUAAAGCCCUUUUGUUGGGAAAGAAAUCCUGUCGAUUAAUACUCGGUGGGGAUGACGGUACCCAAAGAAUAAGCACCGGCUAACUUCGUGCCAGCCGCCGCCGUAAUAC
rnacentral:rRNA from 1 species